GACAGAGGUGCCGAGCGUUAGGCGGAAUCACUGGGCUUAAAGCGUGUGUAGGCAGAUCCGUAAGUACCUUGUGAAAUCCCACGGCUCAACCGUGGAACUGCUUGGUAUACUGCGGGUCUUGAGCCACCUAGGGGCGAGCGGAACAAGUGGUGGAGCGGUGAAAUGCGUAGAUAUCACUUGGAACGCCAAUGGUGAAAACAGCUCGCUGGGGGUGUGCUGACGCUGAGACACGAAAGCCAGGGGAGCAAACAGG
rnacentral:rRNA from 1 species